GAUGAACGCUGGCGGCGUGCCUAAUACAUGCAAGUCGAACGAAAUUAUUUUAAUAGAAGAUUACUUGUAAUUGGAAGUUAAAUUAAUUUAGUGGCGAACGGGUGAGUAAUACAUAAGUAAUCUGCCCUUAAGGACCGGGAUAACUGUUGGAAACGAUGGCUAAUACCGGAUAAGUAAUUGGAAGGCAUCUUCUAAUUAUUAAAAGUUUAAAUACACACAAGGAUGAGCUUAUGGUGCAUUAGCUAGUUGGUGGGGUAACGGCCUACCAAGGCUGUGAUGCAUAGCCGACCUGAGAGGGUGAUCGGCCACACUGGGACUGAGACACGGCCCAGACUCCUACGGGAGGCAGCAGUAGGGAAUUUUCGGCAAAUGGGGGGCAAACCCCUGACCCGAGCAACGCCGCGUGAGUGAUGAAGGUCGCAAGAUUGUAAAACUCUGUUGUAAAGGAAGAACACUAAGGAUAGAAUCCUUAGUUGACGGUACUUUACCAGAAAGCCACGGCUAACUACGUGCCAGCAGCCGCGGUAAU
rnacentral:rRNA from 1 species